UACACUGGUGAUCUUACUACGAUAUUCAAU
rnacentral:piRNA from 1 species